AGAUUUCUACAGUAACCAGACUCCACCCAAGUUUCUACGACGAUCGACCGCCUCCCGGAUCCUAAUCGAGCUCCCACGAGAGCCGAACUUCUACUACAAAUGGUCUACUCGAAAUUCCUACAGCGGGCUGUCUACCCCAGAUAUCUACUGUAAGCAAAUUUCUUCCAAACUUCUGUUAUAGGUAGACUCCAGCUGAGCUACUCCGUAGUGAGUGGGCUGUGGACGAACUUCUACAGCGGGACACUACUCCGAGCUUCCACGACAACUGGUCCUCGCCCG
rnacentral:lncRNA from 1 species